GCCGCCCGCCCGCAGCUGCACUGCGGCGCCGGGGGUGGGCAGUCCCGCGGUCCCGCCCGCUGCGGGGAGGGCGGCUCGGGGCGACCCAGCGUGGCCGGCCACCUGCGACAGGUGGCCGCACGUCUCGGGGAGACCUGGGCCUCGGAAGCGCGGACGGAGCGAAGGCGCCACGGAAACCCAUUAGUCUUCCUCGGCGGUGGUCGAAACUUGCUGGCGGUUUCUUGCUCACCUUUCCCGUUUCCCCUUUCAAAAGGGAUGAAGAGGAAGGUUAUCAAGGCUUAGGGCCGGAGCACCCACGGUAGUCACCAAGUGUGGAGUCCAGGGGACAGUUUGUCCUGAAGGAGGAGGUUCAAGGAGACUGGAGAAUGAAACAGCAGGUGCAUUCUGGGAUGCUUUUAUCCUAAUAAAACUCCUCCAAAGACUUUGCUGUUUUCCCUCUGCUCGAUAGCCAGGAUCUGGUUUCAGACCUGCCACCCCAUUCUCUCAGCAACACCUCCCUGCUUGGUGCUUGUCCCCAGCUGACCUCCAUCCAUUUCUAUCGUGUUUUAGCCUGUCAGAAGUCGACCUGUGUGACCAAGCCUAUGUACUUACUGACUGCUAUAGUUUGGAUUGUGUUCCCCAAAAGAUAUGUUGAAGUCUUGAACCCAGUACCUUAUUGGAGAGAGGGUCUUUGCAGAUGUAAUUGAGUUAAGAUGAGGUCAUCAGGGCAGGUCCUAACCCAAUAUGAUUGAUGUCUUUAUAAGAAGAAAAGACAGAGACACAGAGGGAGAAGACGGCCAUGUGAUGACAGAGACCAAGGUUGGAAUGAUGCAUCUACCAGCCAAGGAACACCAAGGAUUGUCAGCAAACACCAGAAGCUAGAAGAAACGAGGAAGGAUCCCCUACAGGUUUCAGAGGGCAUAUGGCCCUACCAACAUCUUGAUUUUGAAUUUCUAGCCUCCAGAGCUGCAAGACAACAAAUUUCUGUUGUUUUAGGUGACCCUGUUUGUGGUACUUUGUUACAACAGCCCUAGGAAACAAAUAUACUGAGUGACCAGCUGUGUGGGAUUUACCUCCCAAAUAGAGCACUAACAGUGCUUAAGUCCGUGCCUGGAGCUCUGUUCUCCAGAGAGCUAUGACUGUGACUGUAACCAAAGACCUGACUAAAAUGAAAGGUGAUAUUUGAGGACCGAGAUUACAGACAGAGGGAAGAGUCAAUGCAAAGGUGGCAGCAUGCUUGAUGUGUAGAGGACCAGGAAGAAAGGUAGUGUGUUUGGAAAAUUAAUAAGGGGAAGAGUGUCAAGAAAUGAAGCCAAAGAGGGAGCCAAAGAAGACACCAUCCCUAGGGCCUUAUGGACCAUAGAAAGGACUUUGGAUUUUUUUAAACAAUGUAUUAUUGAAAUGUAAUUUACACUUAGGAGUAAAAUGAACAAAUCUUAAGGGUAUGGUUUUGUGAUUUUUUUUUACAUAUUGCUCUGGUUUGAAUAUGUCCCCCAAAAUGCAUGUGUUGAAACCUAACCCCCCAGGUGAUGGUAUUGAGGUUGGGCCUCUGGGAGGUGAUUAAGUCACGAGGGCAGAUAUAUUGUAAAAGAAACCCAAAAGAGCUCCCUUGCCUCCUUCUGCCAUGUGAAGACACAGGAAGUCUGCCAUUUGGAAGAAGGCCAUCACCAUGCUGGUACCCUGACCUCAGACUUCCAGCCUCGACAACUGUGAGAAAUAAAUUUCCAU